AGUGAACGCUGGCGCUAGGCCUAACACAUGCAAGUCGAACGGCAGCACAGUAAGAGCUUGCUCUUACGGGUGGCGAGUGGCGGACGGGUGAGGAAUACAUCGGAAUCUACUUUUUCGUGGGGGAUAACGUAGGGAAACUUACGCUAAUACCGCAUACGACCUACGGGUGAAAGCAGGGGAUCUUCGGACCUUGCGCGAUUGAAUGAGCCGAUGUCGGAUUAGCUAGUUGGCGGGGUAAAGGCCCACCAAGGCGACGAUCCGUAGCUGGUCUGAGAGGAUGAUCAGCCACACUGGAACUGAGACACGGUCCAGACUCCUACGGGAGGCAGCAGUGGGGAAUAUUGGACAAUGGGCGCAAGCCUGAUCCAGCCAUACCGCGUGGGUGAAGAAGGCCUUCGGGUUGUAAAGCCCUUUUGUUGGGAAAGAAAAGCAGCAGGUUAAUACCCCGCUGUUCUGACGGUACCCAAAGAAUAAGCACCGGCUAACUUCGUG
rnacentral:rRNA from 1 species